GUUCUCGAAUAAAUGAAAAUUGACUCCCAAAGUAUAUACACGACAAUGGACCUAACAACUAAAAUUAGUAUGUACAGACGGAACUUGUAAAAUUAAGAAAAAGUUGUACACAAGAAAGAUUUGAGCUUCCUACAAGGACUAUAAUACCCUUCAAAACUAUCUAAAUUUACCAAAACUGAUACACUCCGUCUCCAUCGGCGAACUCAAGGGAGAUGCGUUGUUCUCCGGCCAGACUCAGAUCGGUCACCGGUGGAGAAAAUAGAAGUUAAAGAGUGAGCUAAGCCCAAAACUAUGGUCAUCUUCACUUGCCCUCUUUUUGGA
rnacentral:misc_RNA from 1 species